AUACUCUGGUUUCUCUUCAGAUUAUAUAAAUCUUUUGCCUUUUACUAAAGAUUUCCAUGGUGAGGAACAUUUAUGAGUUUGUACUCAAUUUUUUGAGGCUUCACUCCGGUGAAGCU
rnacentral:snRNA from 1 species